GUUGAGCUCAGUCAGUCUGUCCCAGGCGAUCGUACUCUCCGGCCACCCGUCUCUCAAACACAGGCUCAAGACCCUAGUACUCGCAUACCAACAUGGCGGACGAUGAGAGAAUUCGCAUCGAGGAGGCGAAGAAGGCGAAGCAGGCCGAGAUUGAGCGCAAGCGCGCUGAGGUGCGCAAGCGCCUUGAGGAGACGGCCAAAGCCAAGAAGGCCAAGAAAGGUUUUAUGACCCCGGAGAGGAAGAAGAAGCUGAGGUUGCUGCUGAGAAAGAAGGCCGCCGAGGAGCUGAAGAAGGAGCAGGAGAGGAAGGCAGCUGAGAGGAAGAGGAUCAUUGAUCAACGCUGCGGAAAGCCGAAAAACGUUGACGACGCUAAUGAAGAUGAACUCAAGAAAAUCGUCAAGGAGUAUUAUGAUCGUGUGUAUCUGUGUGAGGGUCAAAAAUGGGAUUUGGAACAUGAAGUGAGAAAGAGGGACUGGGAGAUCUCCGACCUGAGCAGCCUGGUGAACAACCUCCCUGGUAAAUUCCAGAAGCCUACCCUGAAGAAGGUGUCAAAGUUUGAGAACAAGUUCGCCAAGUUGCAGAAGAAAGCAGCUGAGUUCAACUUCCGCAAUCAGCUCAAGGUUGUCAAGAAGAAGGAGUUCACCCUUGAGGAAGAGGACAAAGAGGCCAAGAAGUCGGAAAAGGCAGAUUGGCAGACGAAGAAAUAAUCACAUAGACACAUCAUUGCCAUUACCAGACAUUGCAGUCUGUUUUAAAAUCUUAUUUUUUGGGUUAUAACAUUUAUCUGGAUGUAAUGUAAUAUUUCAGAUUUAAAUUUUGUAAUUCAACUGUUUUUAUGAACAGUUUGGCAUACUCGCAUUCUCAUUAAAUUCAGGAACUGUUUCUACUUCACACAGUUUGUAUGAUCCCACGUUUUCCCGCUUCCACCACUAUAGUUCCAAAAGCAGAACACACUCACAUUUUUACUCUUUUUUAAAUAUUUCUUCUGACUAUUUUAUUAUUAUAUUGUAUUUUUGUUUUAUGUCAGUUUUGCUUGUUUCUUUGUGUCUUAUUUUGUGAUGUCUUUUGUGGUGUGAUUUUUUAUUCGACUUAUGGAUGUCAUCAGCGUAGCAGAGCUGUGUUUUGUUUUGUCCGUUUCAACAACUGAUAUUCUUUCACUCAAAUGUAGAACAUAAAAUUGUGACCAUACCCUUUUUAUAGUUAUACCCUGUUUUGUUUUUGACCCUUUCUUUUUUGGAGUUUAAAAUACGUAAUACUAUGCGGUAAGACAGGAGUCUGUUUGCAUCUGGCUAGUUAUUACGUGCUGCUGUUGCAAGAGUAGCAACCAAGAUGGAAGGAGCUUUGGAGAGAAGAAACCAGACUGGUCAAAGAAGGGUGAAGAAAAGAAGGUAGGGGAGAAAGAAGUGGAGGCAUAAAUUUGAUAUUUUUAUUCAUACUCUAAAAGAAAAACUCACAGACAGUUUAUUGAGCACAUGUAUUUAUUGGUAUGGGCUGAGUAGAACUAAAUUACUGCUGGGAGAAGAGUUGCCUACAGAUGAAAAAGAGAAAAUGAAGAACGCAGCAUCAAGGAAGUAAGAUCGACAAUAUUUACUGUGAUUUUUAUGUUCAGUUUUUGCUUGUUUUUGGUCUAAGAAUAUUCGAUUUUGUUGUGUUGGCAUGAUGCCAUUCUGACCUUGUAAUUGGCAGCUGUUUUCUCUGUACUGUAUGUCUUUGCCAUCAUUCUCCACUCCAGUAUAAACAUUUCAGCUGUCCUUGUGAAUAUUUUUCCAUCCCUGUGUAAAAGGGGAGCAAAGCAACAUCAUGUGUGUAGCAAUGUACAAAAUCGUGAUUAAAGUUAUUCAUGUGAUAUUA